rnacentral:lncRNA from 14 species
AAUUGGAGGAAAGAACUGGAAAAACACAGGGAGAAAUUAUUGGGUGGAAAUGAGAGCUCUUCCAAAAGAAAAGAGAAAAAGAAAAAGGAAAAGAAGAAAUCUAAUAGGGUGAGCAAAAUUUUCAGUUUUCUGAGCUUUUUUGCUUUGGGGUUGUUCCCGUUUGUCAUUUAAAUUCUCCUGGAAGGAGAAAGUAUAGCUGUAAUUUUGAUUUUCAAUGACAAAUUAACUUUUAUUAAAGAGGGUUUGCAUAUAUUUCAUACAAGGAAAAUUAAAGGGAGGAAAAGCGCAUUAAAUAGAUAUUAUUAAAAGAAAAACAUUAGAAGUGGUUUAGACGUUUAUUUAAGAAAAAUCUAUGUAAGACCAGCUUCCCAGAAGUAAAAUUGUGUUGGUUAUACUUUGAAAAUGAAGACAUUUUAAAGGGAGUGUUUGAAUAGGCUUUUGAGUAUUUGCCAGACAAAAUGCUGCAUCUCACAAGCUUCACUUUUUGUUGUGUUUGGUCAAGUUGUCUUCAUCUUCCUCUUCUUCAUCAAGCUCUGAUUCUUCCAGCAGUUCAUCUGAUUCAGAAGAUGAGGAUAAAAAGCAAGGGAAGAAAAGAAGGAAGAAGAAGUAUCGCUCCUCACGGAAAUCUUCAGCAAGCACAACUUCAGAAUCUGAGUCAGACAGCAAGGAUAGCACAAAAAAGAAGAGGUCAAAGGAAGACUGUGAAAAAGAGAAGGAAGGUAAAAAUCACCACAGGAAAAGGAAGAAAGCAGAUCGUGGUGAUGCACCUUUAUCGUCAGAAUCUGUAUCUGAAUCAGAUCAGACAGAGGAGGUGCAAGCGAAAAAGAAGAAAAGCAAUGAGGAAAAAGAGAGAACAGAUAAAACGAAAAAGAGAAAGAAGCACAAGAAACAUGGUAAAAAGAAGAAAAAGAAGACUGCUGGUUCAAAUUCAGAUUCAGAAUAAUAUUUUAAAACAACCGGAGACUAUCAACAGAAGUGCAAUGACUAAAGGAAACUUAAACUGUGAAAUGACAGCAAACUUUACCAAACUGCAUGAGUUUUCCUGUGUUUUAGAAAUAUUCCUAAUCUCUCAGUAGCCGGCCAGAUGCAGCUGUGCUGGGAAAGACCAUUGUUAUUGCCUGCUGCUUAAUACACAAGGUACAACUUUGAUAAGAUUCCAGUAAGCAGUGUUAGAUGUUUGAGACAAUAUGAGAUGGUAGGCCACCUGAGGUGUAAAAUAUUGGAAAAUAAGAGUUAAACUUUUUAGAUAGUAAAAAUAGUCUUUUAAAGCAUUAGUCAAAGUCUUUAUUUGUAAAUCAGGACAAAUUAAAUCCCAAGUUCAUCCUGCAGGUUAAUAUUAUGCAUAAACUACAAGCUGGUGUCUGCUAAUGGAAAAUGAAUGAUAACUUUUAAAAGGCUGCCUUUGUAGAAAUGUGUAUCAUCUGCCCCAUUACCGUCUCCAUGCUUAUGAGAAAGGGAAUGCUACCAUCUUGGCUACCUGAAUAGGGUGCCUUUGCCUUUGAUUCUUGCAAAUCUUUGCUACUUUUAAUCCAUGCAUCUCUGCAUUCCUGGGAAGCUAGAGCUAUUGCCAGCAGACUUUUCUGAAUGAGCAGUUUUGAGCUUCCAAGCAUGUGCUUCUGCAUUAAGCAAGAGCAAUGACAUUUUGCAGUACAACUGACAGUCAAAACCUGAAAAUUUUACCUCUGCUUUUUCAAAAUAGCGAUAGACCUUUGCUAGUAAAUAUGCAUAUUUCAUUUAAUGUAAUUUUGGUUUAAUUGAAAACUUCUUGCAAACACUGGUAGCUUUCUUUGCAUUAUCUUUAGAAUUGUUUUGCAUGAUUUGUACCAUUUUUAAAUUAACAAAAUGCAGGUAAUCAUUUGUUGUAACCAGUUCUAUGAAUUACAUUUCACAUGCAGAUUUUCAUGUAUGUAUUUAGUUAUAGUUAAGUUCAUUGCUGUGUUUAAGUGCACACUUGCUGAAGUUAUUUAGCAUGUAAAAAGCAAGGUUUUGAUACCUUAACAGCUUCAUAUUGAAGCUGCUUUUACUCUGAGCAAGUUCAGUGGCAGAUCUGUUAUGUGAUGUGUCUUGUUAGAUAAAAAAACUACUGCCAGAAUCUCAUUGAAGAUACUGUUUAAACAGUUUGUAUUUAUAUUUUUGUACUUGAGGGCUACAGAAUGUUGACCUAACUCAUAAAGCUGUUUUACUUUAGUGUAGUUGCUUUAGAUAACUGAAAAAAAGCUUUUUUAAAUUAAAUGUGCCCACAAGAAAACAUGGCAACCAUUUGAUUUUAGUUUACAUUAAAUUCUCACUACAUCUUCCAUUGAAAUACUGAUUGCUGGGCCUUCUGUUAGCCUUUAACAAAUGCCCAUCCAUCCCAGGUAGUCAAAUAUAGAUUGUAUUUUUGAUCUUACCCCUUUUUUCCAUUGAACAGGUGCUAACUUAGAACUUACCUCUAUUGCAUACGAUGUUUCAAAUGUUGUGUUGCCAAGAAUUUCAGGACUUUCAAGACAUUGAUUAUUAGUCUGCAAACCAUAACUAAUAUCUGUGGGAGAAAGGUGAUUUCAUAUUGCCAUUGUACAGAGAAAUUGUCUUCAAAUUCUUGGGAGAAUACAACCAUUGAAUUGCAGCAAUGUGCAUCUAAACAAUAGUAAUAUUUUCAUCAACUAUUCUAUACUCUUGGGCUUGAUGUUACCAAUUCUAAACACUCUUGUCAGUGAGGUUAAAAUAAAGGUGAUAUGCAGUGAACAGAUGGGUUUGAUUUGGGGUUUGUGUUUAGUUUUGUUGGGGUUGUUUUAAGUUGUGGUGUUACAGUUUUGGUAAAAGAACCUGUAAUGAACCAUAGCAUAAAUGCUCUGUCCUGUGUGAUACCUUUUUUGACUUUUACACAACCACCUGCCACAGAAAGAAAUAAAAAUGGAAAUGAGACCCAGUCUUCCAAAUACCUAAGCUGGUAUGUAAUUUUACUUGUGUGACUGUAACUAUCUGUUCUGCUCAGCUGUAGGCUCGGAGUGCUGCUGUCAUGCUCGAGAAGGGGUGUAGCCGCCUAAGGGGCUUAUGGGCUUUGUCAGUUCCCAACAAAGCUGCUUUAGUACUGAAAGGGAACUGCUUCAGUUUGCAAUACAUUAACAAAUACGUUGAGUCGGCUCUUGCAUGUCCUUUUUCCUGAAGGAAAGGUGGAGGCUGCUCUCAGCCUUUCAGCUUUUGCCAUGUGCCCACCCCGAGGUUGUGAGACAGUGAUGGGGGUUUGGGGUGGCACCUACACCCACGGUCCAAGUUUCAGCAGAGGGACAAAGUAGAAAAUGAGCAAUGUCGCAGUUAGAGUGGUUUUAAUAUAUUUUUGCCUUCUGACAGCAGAUGAACAAGCACUAUUGUAUGUUGUAACUUUUAGCUCUGCUUUUCCGCACAAGCAUUUUUAGAAAUUUAAAAUGCAGUUCUUUUUAUUUUUUGUGACUGCAGUUUUUCUGAAUGCGUGUUAGCACUCGAUCUCUGUUGUGCCCGUGUGCGUGUUAAUGUCCGACCCGCCCGUGCGGCCCAGCGGCACCGCCGGGCCGCGGCCGCCCCCCCGCGUUGCCAAGGCAGCGGCGGC